rnacentral:rRNA from 1 species
CCUACGGGAGGCAGCAGUGGGGAAUAUUGGACAAUGGGCGAAAGCCUGAUCCAGCAAUGCCGCGUGAGUGAUGAAGGCCUUCGGGUCGUAAAGCUCUUUUACCAGGGAUGAUAAUGACAGUACCUGGAGAAUAAGCUCCGGCUAACUCCGUGCCAGCAGCCGCGGUAAUACGGAGGGAGCUAGCGUUGUUCGGAAUUACUGGGCGUAAAGAGUACGUAGGCGGUUAUUCAAGUCAGAGGUGAAAGCCCGGGGCUCAACCCCGGAACUGCCUUUGAAACUAGAUAACUAGAGUCUUGGAGAGGUUAGUGGAAUUCCGAGUGUAGAGGUGAAAUUCGUAGAUAUUCGGAAGAACACCAGUGGCGAAGGCGACUAACUGGACAAGUACUGACGCUGAGGUACGAAAGCGUGGGGAGCAAACAGGAUUAGAUACCCUGGUAGUCCACGCCGUAAACGACUAGAUAACUAGUUAGUUCGGUUCGUACUUAGGUUGUACGUAGUAGUAGACGACGACGACGUAACGUACACUUAAGUUAAUUACCGUCCGUCGGGUAGGUACGGUCGGUCGAAGAAGUUAAAACGUUAAAAGUUAAGUAAGUUAGUACGGCGUGUAGACGUUAGCGAACGACGACGACGAGGGAGGAGG